UGCCAUCCGCCGCGGUAAGACGGAGGGUCCUAGCGUUGUUCGGAAUGACUGGGCGUAAAGGGUACGUAGGCGGUUUUGUUAGUUAGAUGUGAAAUCCCAGGGCUCAACCUUGGAACUGCAUCUAAUACUGCAAGACUUGAGAUCGGAAGGGGAAAGCGGAAUUCCUAGUGUAGAGGUGAAAUUCGUAGAUAUUAGGAGGAACACCAGAGGCGAAGGCGGCUUUCUGGUCCGAUACUGACGCUGAGGUACGAAAGCGUGGGGAGCAAACAGGAUUAGAUA
rnacentral:rRNA from 1 species